rnacentral:pre_miRNA from 1 species
CAAAUACUCCCUUCGUCCGGAAAUACUUGUCAUCAAAAUGGAUAAAAGGAAAUGUAUCUAGACAUAUUUUAGUUUUAGAUACAUCUCUUUUUAUCCAUUUUGAUGACAAGUAUUUUCGGACGGAGGGAGUAGAAA